UUGCUGAGAAUUGGCGGUUGCUCGGUUGGUGUAGUUUGCUUGCAGACUAAAACCACAGAAUUUGUUUUGUGAUUUCUUUGCAUUGUUGCAUAAGGGAGCUAACACGUAGCCAUUUCUCUGUUAUGAGGAGUAUGUUGGUAUGAAUGAAGAAAUUGCUGUUCCUGAUGAAGGACUUCUCAAAUGUAGCUGAAGUGAGGAGUGGCUAAGGGUUGAACUUGCCUGCACUCUGUCUACGGGAUACGUAGCUGAUGUCUGUUUUGCAGAUGCUCAUCAUUCAUUUUUGUGUUUUGGACAAAAGAAAUUCCUGUUCCAAGAGAUGGGUGACCUCACUUCCUGAGUGAGGAAGUGCCAGGCAGGAUGUUUAACUCGAGUGUUCUUCCCCGGCUGUGCAUCAGUUAUGAGGGGCCCCAGCAUGAAAGAUUGGUUGCAGAGACAGUGAACAGAAUGUCGGAGUGGGGCCUCUAGGAUCCCUGGAUGCAGAGUCCUUACAGAAGGAUGGUUGGGGAGAGCACCAUGGCGAAUAAGGAUGGUUACGUGCUGGAGAGGACAUGUGCAGAGUGCCCAACAAAAGUGGUAUGUUUCGAGAUAGUGCGCAUAAAGGACUUCAAAUUUUAACAGCAACAUAUGGAAUAAAACAUUGUAAAUAAGGUUUAACUUCUAUUUCCAUAACAUCUUGUAUUAUAUAAAGCCAAUCACAUUAUUGCAUGCAACACUUAUACAGCGAUUAGCUACCAACAGUGGAAUAAAGUGUAUAUUGUUGUGGAAAUAAAAGACUGAGUUCAUAGUGAUGUAUGUUGCUGAUGAAGCUUGCAGCUCCUGAAUCGCACUAUCUCGAAACGCCCCACUUUUCCUGGCAUUCUGAUACUUCAUGUAGUCCUCCUGCAAAGAAAAAAUAAAGUAAUGUUAAUUUUCAGUCAAAAAACAUACAAAAAUAUUAAAA